rnacentral:rRNA from 1 species
UACAGAGGUGGCAAGCGUUGUUCGGAAUUACUGGGCGUAAAGGGUGCGUAGGCGGCGCGGUAAGUCGGGUGUGAAAUCUCGGAGCUUAACUCCGAAACUGCAUUCGAUACUGCCGUGCUUGAGGACUGGAGAGGAGACUGGAAUUCCUGGUGUAGCGGUGAAAUGCGCAGAUAUCAGGAGGAACACCGGUGGCGAAGGCGGGUCUCUGGGCCGAUACUGACGCUGGAGGAGCGAAAAGCGUGGGGAGCAAACAGG